rnacentral:rRNA from 1 species
GAUGAACGCUGGCGGCGUGCCUAAUACAUGCAAGUCGAGCGAACAGACGAGGAGCUUGCUCCUCUGACGUUAGCGGCGGACGGGUGAGUAACACGUGGAUAACCUACCUAUAAGACUGGGAUAACUUCGGGAAACCGGAGCUAAUACCGGAUAAAAUGUUGAACCGCAUGGUUCAACAGUGAAAGACGGUUUUGCUGUCACUUAUAGAUGGAUCCGCGCCGCAUUAGCUAGUUGGUAAGGUAACGGCUUACCAAGGCAACGAUGCGUAGCCGACCUGAGAGGGUGAUCGGCCACACUGGAACUGAGACACGGUCCAGACUCCUACGGGAGGCAGCAGUAGGGAAUCUUCCGCAAUGGGCGAAAGCCUGACGGAGCAACGCCGCGUGAGUGAAGAAGGUCUUCGGAUCGUAAAACUCUGUUAUUAGGGAAGAACAAAUGUGUAAGUAACUAUGCACGUCUUGACGGUACCUAAUCAGAAAGCCACGGCUAACUACGUG